UACAGAGGGUGCAAGCGUUAUUCGGAAUUACUGGGCGUAAAGCGCACGUAGGCGGUUUUUUAAGUCAGAUGUGAAAGCCCCGGGCUCAACCUGGGAAUUGCAUUUGAAACUGGGAAACUAGAGUGUGUGAGAGGGGGGUAGAAUUCCAAGUGUAGCGGUGAAAUGCGUAGAGAUUUGGAGGAAUACCAGUGGCGAAGGCGGCCCCCUGGCACAACACUGACGCUCAGGUGCGAAAGCGUGGGGAGCAAACAGG
rnacentral:rRNA from 1 species